rnacentral:lncRNA from 1 species
UCUAUCUAUCAUCAGUGAUUCAUGUCUCCACAUGAUCACUGUAUCCAAUUGCUUCCCCUUUUUGUCACUUUCUCCAUAGUUGGCCCCCUCUGUCUGUCACACACACAAAUCGAGUUACAAGUUUUAGAUAUAUACAUCAAGUUCAGGCACAUUUCUACGGCAGAAACAAGGAUCCCACGGGCACUGGAAACCAACAUCAACCAAAAAUAGCUUCAAUGAAAGGUUUUUUCGGAGGUGGGUUGAGACCAAAUUUGAAGCAAAUGAAGAGGCUUGAUAACAGCAAUACUGAUAACAAUGAAGAAGAGAUUUACGGUGGACCAGUCUUCACAUUCCAAGCAUGGAGAUCCGAGGGUUGUGAGCUUUCCUCUACGUGCCUUGCUACAUCACUUGGGUCCCUUUUCAAGGCCUAUAAGCCCGAGGUGAGUUAUGUGCUUUGUCAGCAAUUGGAAUGUUUGUACAGUAAAUUAUGAGAUUUUAGCUUAAUUUUCUUUAAUAUGUCUAAUUCAUAUCAUGGAUACAAAAGCCAAUAAUGUUAUUCCCUUCUAGGAUGAGAGGUCAAGGUCUAGGGCUGAGCUUUUCUAGGAUUUUUCCUUCUACCUUUUUUGAUUUGAUUUCCUCGUACUGAUAGUCGUCGUUGUGUCCCUGAUUUCAUGUGGAGCAUGCAUGAGAUUAUGUGUUGUAAUAUUGUUCAAUUUAUGGGAGAAUAUCAAGUGAAAAACAACCAGAAGGGGAGGGGGGGGGGGGGGGGGGAAAAAAACUGGACGACUACCCAGCCUCGAGAAUUGGCAUCCGAGGCCAAAAUGCUACACUAGGCGAUCGCCCAGUUUUGUACCGGACGAUUGCCCAGUUCAAAAAUUCAACCGCCGAGUUUGAAUUUUCUGGCGACGUUUUGAUGGUUUUCAUACCUCCUUGGAUUGAUUUCAGUACCCGUUCGUGUAGGAGAAUUGAUGUUCUAUAUGUAUGGAUGAUUUUCAUGUUUAAAAACAUGACAUAAACAUCAAAUAUAUACACUUACAUCCAAAUCAACUAUCAAAACUGAAAUUUCUUAAAGUGUUCUUCAAUUUCAUAUUUCUUGAUUUGAACUUAGAUUAACGUGUUGGAAUAAUUCCAAACAUUUGAUUGUAAAAUUUUACGGUUUAGAUCUAUGGCUCACAAUGAUAUUAUGAUUAGACCAAUUAUGUUAAGUGAUCAAUUUGGGUCGUUUCACACCCUACGGGCUUUAUUUGAUAUAAUGUGGUAAUUUCGAGUAUAUGGGCCGAAAUUAUGCGUAAACCAUAAUUAGGGUUUAAGUCGAUAAUGGGACGACUAAAUAAAUUCCUAUAUAAAGGCUGGGUCCCCUCUGCUCUCUAUAUGGUUUUCAUUAGCUUGCCCCAUUGAUAGUUAAUAUUUUGAGGAGCAAGGAGAGAAAGAUCUGACUACUAUUACAACUAUUAUUCAUAUCAACGAUGGCUUCCGCAUGUAUGAAUUUGUUUUAUUAAUUCAUUAAUUGAUGAUUAUUGAUUCUUAGCAUGAUUGAAAUUAAAUAUUAACAAUUGGUACCAGCGCUUCAUGCUAAGAUUGGAAUCCUUCAAAAAAAAAAAAAAUUCUAUCUCGAUUGUUUCAAAGUUUUUCAACUUUGUAUUAAAGUUUGGACCAUACUACUUGUACAUUGUCUUUUACAUUAUUUUUUACAUUGUUCCACGUGGCGACACAUGAUUAGACAGUUUUUGAAUUCAACACACUUUCCCGUCAAUUACAUUUUGAAUUUGUAAAGAAUGUCAAACUCCAUGUAAUCCAUAAAAUGUACAAGAAGCAUUAUUGUUAAAGUUUCAUGUGGAGUUUUCUGUGCAUAUAAAUUCGUGUAUGCACAUAAGUAUAAUUAUUAUAAAAACAUAUGUAGAGAAACCAAAACAUGCGUAAGCUAUCAAACCACCAUUUUCCCACCGCCUCACCCUUGAAGGUUCUUGGGAUAAGAAUACUCUUUUUUUGGCCCGUUAACGGUGGUGGCCUGAAACGCUAACCCAAAUUUCCCUUCCAUUCUAUUCCAAUACAGAAAUAAAAAAUAAAUAUAUAAAAAUAAACCUUCCACUCCUGCAUCCGUUUUCAUUGCAAUUAAUUCGGAUCCCGCAGCAAUGAUAAUCGAUCUCCUGGGCUGCUGAAAUUAGUUGGGAUCCUACCUCAAUAGAGUUCCAACUACCAGUAAACUAUGUUUGUAAAAACUGAUUGAAGUGAGAGUUAGGGAUUGUUGGAUUUAGGAUUGAUUUUGUGUAGGAUUUGCCCUAAAUGCUUGGUUGUUAAUUGUGUUGGAGACGACUUAUAAAAAGGGUUAUGUAAGGGUUGGUUUUUAAUAUAUUUGUUUAACCAGUUUUAACCCGCAAGAGGGUGAUCAAAACACAAUUUAUAUGAAUGAAAAUUUGAACAGAGUUUCGGUAUAAAGAUUAUGCAAAACAAGGAUUAAGAAGGAGUAGAAAUGGAUAAUAAUCCAAGGCGAGACGUUAUCUCUUUCCUUAAGAUAAAUUGUCCCGCUACAGUGCUCACGGUGAAUGGCACUUGUCUCCCAAGAUACAAUGUAUUCACAACUUGCGGUAGCAGCUCUUCAAACCACAAGAAACCGACGAACUUUUGACAGAAUUUCCACUCUACAAAGGAAAUGUAUGAAAUGCUAUAGAAUUUGAAAGAAGAAAAUUACAAAAGGAGAAUGAAUGCUCAAUGCAAUUGAUGUACCCAAAAUCAUAUCCAUAGGGUUCUAUUUAUAGAUGUAGAAAGGGUACAAAUGAAGUAAUGUGUGCCAAAACAUGCAUCCUUUCAAAAAAGUUGCAACACUUGGCCAAAACCUGCACCUUUCGAAAAGUUGCAACACUUCAUUUCUUCCAACUUUGGUCCGUAAUUUCUCAUUCAUCUGGAAUUGGUUUCGAGAUUCUAAUUAUACCAUGACGAUCUACUCGAGGAGGAGAAUAAGUUGGUUUAUUUACUUUUGUAAUUUGACCAUCAGAUCAAGUCCGAAUAUUUGGUCGAAGUUGACACGUAGUCACACCUUUUCAUUUUCCAUUUUUACACACAUUUUCAUUUUCCAAUUUUUACACACCUUUUCAUUUAAUAUUUGAACCAAUUCCUACCAAUUGUGAUUGAUGUUAUUGAAUGAGUAAUUGAUAUUUGACACUGUUUUCGUCUCGGCGCAGUGGUUGAGUCUCGUUGCGCGGCUCCUUCCCUUUCCCGGCGUCAACAGCGAGCAAGAAAUAAAAAUAAAUAAUAGUAAGGAGGUUUGUCUGUGAAACGGGCUGAAUAAGGAAGAUGGGGUUAUGUUGUAAUUUGAGAAGUUAAAGGCCCCUGUCUGCAAUUGACAAUUGGGGGUCACAUUGCAAUUUUUAAAAGAAGGGUCUUUUAGCAAUUUGGGGUAUUUGGAGGCUCUGUUUUGUAAUUUGAACAGGGUCAUAUUGCAAAUUUCUAUAUUGUUUUGAAUUUGAAUUCUAAAAAGGUUUUAGAAUUAUAUUUUAGAUGGAUUUGAUCUACGUUUUAGUUUUGACCAAUUAAAUGUUUAUUGAUCCGUUUAAAAUCACAUUGAUGAUAAUACUAAUAAUUAUUGACUACUUUUAUUAUUUUUUUUUUUGGUUAAAAUUUUUAAUUUAAUUAUUGUUAUUCUUUGUUUAUUUAAAUUUCGC